GACGAACGCUGGCGGCGUGCUUAACACAUGCCAGUCGAACGGAAAGGCCCUGCUUUUGUGGGGUGCUCGAGUGGCGAACGGGUGAGUAACACGUGAGUAACCUGCCCUUGACUUUGGGAUAACUUCAGGAAACUGGGGCUAAUACCGGAUAGGAGCUCCUGCUGCAUGGUGGGGGUUGGAAAGUUUCGGCGGUUGGGGAUGGACUCGCGGCUUAUCAGCUUGUUGGUGGGGUAGUGGCUUACCAAGGCUUUGACGGGUAGCCGGACUGAGAGGGUGACCGGCCAAAGUGGGACUGAGAUACGGACCAGACUCCUACGGGAGGCAGCAGUGGGGAAUAUUGCACAAUGGGCGGAAGCCUGAUGCAGCAACGCCGCGUGCGGGAUGACGGCCUUCGGGUUGUAAACCGCUUUCGCCUGUGACGAAGCGUGAGUGACGGUAAUGGGUAAAGAAGCACCGGCUAACUACGUG
rnacentral:rRNA from 1 species